rnacentral:sRNA from 1 species
UCUACGAUGUCUGCGGUGAAACCGUCCGG